rnacentral:ncRNA from 1 species
UUUAGUAUCUUGAAAAGCUGAGUAACUAGAAUCUUAUUUUUAAAGAGAGCUAACAAAGUAGUGAAAGUUAGCAAAUAAGAACUAGUGAAUAUGGGCUUGGAAUGAUAUCUGGUAGUGAUAGUUAGCUAUCAGCGGAGUUGCAUCCGUUAGUAGUGCAGACUAUUUUUUGAUAGUCAGUAAGAUUUAUCAUGUGAAUGAUAAAUGAAUUAAAGGUGGUAACGCGAGCAUUCGCCCUUUGG